rnacentral:rRNA from 1 species
UACGUAGGCAGCAAGCGUUGUCCGGAAUUACUGGGCGUAAAGAGCUCGUAGGUGGUUUGUCGCGUUGUCCGUGAAAUUCCCUGGCUUAACUGGGGGCGUGCGGGCGAUACGGGGCAGACUGGAGUACUGCAGGGGAGACUGGAAUUCCGGGUGUAGCGGUGGAAUGCGUAGAGAUCCGGAAGACACCGGUGGCGAAGGCGGCCUGCUGGGCAGUUGCUGACACUGAGGCGCGACAGCGUGGGGGA